CCUACGGGUGGCUGCAGUAAGGAAUAUUGGUCAAUGGAGGAAACUCUGAACCAGCCAUCCCGCGUGAAGGAUGAAGGGGCUCUGCCUUGUAAACUUCUUUUGUCUGGGGCGAAAAAGCUCGAUUUAUCGAGCACUGACGGUACCAGAAGAAUAAGCACCGGCUAACUCCGUGCCAGCAGCCGCGGUAAUACGGAGGGUGCAGGCGUUAUCGGGAGUAACUGGGUUGAAGGGGUGCGUAGAAGGCUGUGGUGAAAGGCUGUGGCUUAACCAUGGAAUUGCCAUUGAUACUGCAGAGCUUGAAUGAGGUUGAGGUUGGCGGAAUGUGACAUGUAGCGGUGAAAUGCUUAGAUAUGUCAUGGAACACCGAUGGCGAAGGCAGCUGACUGGACCUAUAUUGACGCUGAGGCACGAAAGCGUGGGGAGCGAACAGGAUUAGAUACCCCGGUAGUC
rnacentral:rRNA from 1 species